rnacentral:rRNA from 1 species
AAUUGCAGAAUUCCGUGAACCAUCGAAUCUUUGAACGCAUAUUGCGCUCGACUCCUCGGAGAAGAGCAUGUCUGCCUCAGCGUC